UUCAUUUUUGUCUGUCCUGCUUAGAAUCCUAUAAUUACAGAAACAUGUCUGUCAGCGAUUUGUGCAUCUGAUAAUCAGAUUUUCUCUCGUUCCCAGCUCUUCCUCCAUCCUCACCCCACCCCAGCCCAUUCUGCCACAUCUGGAGCAGUCCCCUGCCACUCCAUGCCCAACUGACUCCUCAACUGUUUCCAGAUCACAUCUGUCUUUCCCGGUACCGGCUUCCUGACACGCUGGAUCAUAAAUGAGUCAGACCCUAAAUUCUGGUCAUCUUGAAUUCCUCUCUCGAUAGACGAUAACUGUGGAACAGAGCUAUUGCCUCAUUUCUUCUGGUCUGGUUUGGCCAUGCUAAACUAUACAGCUUUCAAAAGAUUCUUCGCAUGGCAUUUAAGCUUCUCCACAACCUGGACGUGAUAUGUGUUUGAUCCUCAAAUAC
rnacentral:lncRNA from 1 species